GAUGAACGCUAGCGGCAGGCCUAACACAUGCAAGUCGAGGGGUAGAGGAAGCUUGCUUCCUUGAGACCGGCGCACGGGGGCGUAACGCGUAUGCAAUCUACCUUAUACAGAGGGAUAGUCCAGAGAAAUUUGGAUUAAUACCUCAUAGUAUCAUGAAAUCGCAUUGUUUUACAAUUAAAGUUCCAACGGUAUACGAGGGGCAUGCGUCCCAUGAGUGAGUUGGUAAGGUGACGGGUUACCAAGACAAUGAUGGGUAGGGGUCCUGGGAGGGAGAUCCGCCACACUGGUACGAAGACGCGGACCAGACUCCUACGGGAGGGAGCAGUGAGGAAGCUUGGUCAAUGGACGCGAGUCUGAACCAGCCAUGCCGCGUGCAGGAUGACGGUCCUAUGGAUUGUAAACUGCUUUUAUACAGGAAGAAACAGUCCCUCGUGAGGGAACUUGACGGUACUGUAGGAAUAAGGAUCGGCUAACUCCGUGCCAGCCGCCGCGGUAACAC
rnacentral:rRNA from 1 species